rnacentral:lncRNA from 1 species
GCAACUAGCUAAACGAUCUCAAUUACACAUUAAUACGAGGCAUGAGAAACCGACCCAAAAAACAAAAUUGCACAUGAAAAGAAGUCGGCAUAUCACUAAUUAUUUCCCAAACAAUCUAUACUUAGCAAAAUCUAAAAAAACAGAUAAACACACAAACCUACACAUGAUAAAAAGAAACUUGAUUAAACGAAGAAGGAAGCUGCACAUCCGGCUAGCAACACUCCAGGCUUUAUUAAAAAUAGGGAAAAAGAAACAACAUGCGGUCAGCUUGCUAAAGCAAACCUACACACAGCCCCAGGGCCUGUACACGCUUGCACGGACAGAAAUUGAGGAAAGAAAAGACAUGCACACAGCACGGAUCUUGAAGCUCAUCCGACGGUUGAGAAGGUCGACUGAGAAGGUCGCCUGAGAAUUAGCAAAAGCCUUAAAGUUUACGGAACAAAUUUAACAAACACAGCGUCCAGCCGAUUCGGAAGGUAGCUCCUUUUCUUUUAUCACACCGUCACUAGACGCC